AUUGAACGCUGGCGGCAUGCUUUACACAUGCAAGUCGAACGGAGGUUAGGAGCUUGCUCCUGACUUUAGUGACGAACGGGUGAGUAAUACAUCGGAACGUACCGCGGAGUGGGGGAUAACGAGUCGAAAGAUUCGCUAAUACCGCAUAUUCUCUGAGGAGGAAAGCAGGGGAUCGAAAGACCUUGUGCUCUGCGAGCGGCCGAUGGCUGAUUAGCUAGUUGGUGAGGUAAAGGCUCACCAAGGCGACGAUCAGUAGCGGGUCGUAGAGGACGAUCCGCCACACUGGGACUGAGACACGGCCCAGACUCCUACGGGAGGCAGCAGUGGGGAAUUUUGGACAAUGGGCGCAAGCCUGAUCCAGCAAUGCCGCGUGCAGGAAGAAGGCCUUCGGGUUGUAAACUGCUUUUGUACGGAACGAAAAGGCUCUGGUUAAUACCUGGGGCUCAUGACGGUACCGUAAGAAUAAGCACCGGCUAACUACGUGCCAGCAGCCGCCGCCGUAA
rnacentral:rRNA from 1 species